UCGUUUAAACCUAUGGUAUCUGUCACCACCACCCAUAUUCUGUUUAUUACAAAACCUCCUUUAUAUAGAAAAAAUAAAAAACCGAAAAAGAAGGAAAGGGGGAAAGGGGAAGAACUAAUUAACCGACUUUGAAGUUUCUCCAAUCAUCCCCAACUAACUCUAAUCAAUAGCUUUGCUCUUCAAUCAUCAACAGCUUCGCACGUUUCCAAUCAGGUCCCAUCUCCUUAUGGGUUGGCCUCCCUUGACCCGAUCAUCUUCUUUCUGGGCUUCGUCCAAAGUGGCCCAUGGAACUCGCUUCAAUGCUUCGCCAUAACACUUCUUCUCGCUAACGAACCUAGGUUGAGGGGAUGGGGAUAAUCAUCUUCCAAAUGGUUACGCUCCACUGCCUUUACUCCUUUACUGCUUCUUCAGACCCCAACUGCCAAAAACGCAACAUUUCAUUAAGUUAAAAGGAAAAUGGCAACUUCAGCCUAAUUCCAAAUGUAGCAUCAUCAACCCAAUAAAUGCAGGCCUAUCAGCGGUCCAGCAUUUCAAUGUAUGCCAAUGGCUUAAUUAAGGGGGUUACUCCCUGUACCUCCCCAAUUCUAACCCCCACCCCCCAUUCCAUUUUUAAGAUUUGUUUUAUUAGUUUACUUUUUAUAUUAAUUUUCAGAUAUUUUAAUAAUGGAAUUUAUAUGUUUUGAUGUAUUAUUUUUAAAUAUAUUUUUAACGUAUAAAUGGGAGAGUGAGAGUUGCAGAGAGCGUUUGGAGGAGGAGCG
rnacentral:lncRNA from 1 species